UGUAGGAGCCGGCUUGCUGGCGAUGGCGGCCCUGACGGUUGAUGUUAAACGCCAGGCGGCCAUCGCCAGCAAGCCGGCUCCUACA
rnacentral:misc_RNA from 1 species